CACGUAGGGUGCGAGCGUUGUCCGGAAUUAUUGGGCGUAAAGAGCUCGUAGGCGGUGUGUCGCGUCGGCCGUGAAAACCUGCAGCUUAACUGUGGGCUUGCGGUCGAUACGGGCAUCACUGGAGUUCGGCAGGGGAGACUGGAAUUCCUGGUGUAGCGGUGAAAUGCGCAGAUAUCAGGAGGAACACCGGUGGCGAAGGCGGGUCUCUGGGCCUUACCUGACGCUGAGGAGCGAAAGCGUGGGGAGCGAACAGG
rnacentral:rRNA from 1 species